rnacentral:rRNA from 1 species
UCCUACGGGGGGCAGCAGUGGGGAAUUUUGGACAAUGGGGGCAACCCUGAUCCAGCCAUGCCGCGUGAGUGAAGAAGGCCUUCGGGUUGUAAAGCUCUUUCGGCCGGGAAGAAAUCGCACAGGCUAAUACCUUGUGUGGAUGACGGUACCGGAAUAAGAAGCACCGGCUAACUACGUGCCAGCAGCCGCGGUAAUACGUAGGGUGCGAGCGUUAAUCGGAAUUACUGGGCGUAAAGCGUGCGCAGGCGGUUUUGUAAGACAGGCGUGAAAUCCCCGGGCUUAACCUGGGAACUGCGCUUGUGACUGCAUCACUUGAGUACGGCAGAGGGGGGUGGAAUUCCACGUGUAGCAGUGAAAUGCGUAGAGAUGUGGAGGAACACCGAUGGCGAAGGCAGCCCCCUGGGCCGAUACUGACGCUCAUGCACGAAAGCGUGGGGAGCAAACAGGAUUAGAUACCCGCGUAGUCCG